CGGGACACGUGGUAUCCUGUCUGAAUAUGGGGGGACCAUCCUCCAAGGCUAAAUACUCCUGACUGACCGAUAGUGAACCAGUACCGUGAGGGAAAGGCGAAAAGAACCCCGGCGAGGGGAGUGAAAAAGAACCUGAAACCGUGUACGUACAAGCAGUGGGAGCACGCUUAGGCGUGUGACUGCGUACCUUUUGUAUAAUGGGUCAGCGACUUAUAUUCUGUAGCAAGGUUAACCGAAUAGGGGAGCCGAAGGGAAACCGAGUCUUAACUGGGCGUUAAGUUGCAGGGUAUAGACCCGAAACCCGGUGAUCUAGCCAUGGGCAGGUUGAAGGUUGGGUAACACUAACUGGAGGACCGAACCGACUAAUGUUGAAAAAUUAGCGGAUGACUUGUGGCUGGGGGUGAAAGGCCAAUCAAACCGGGAGAUAGCUGGUUCUCCCCGAAAGCUAUUUAGGUAGCGCCUCGUGAAUUCAUCUCCGGGGGUAGAGCACUGUUUCGGCAAGGGGGUCAUCCCGACUUACCAACCCGAUGCAAACUGCGAAUACCGGAGAAUGUUAUCACGGGAGACACACGGCGGGUGCUAACGUCCGUCGUGAAGAGGGAAACAACCCAGACCGCCAGCUAAGGUCCCAAAGUCAUGGUUAAGUGGGAAACGAUGUGGGAAGGCCCAGACAGCCAGGAUGUUGGCUUAGAAGCAGCCAUCAUUUAAAGAAAGCGUAAUAGCUCACUGGUCGAGUCGGCCUGCGCGGAAGAUGUAACGGGGCUAAACCAUGCACCGAAGCUGCGGCAGCGACGCUGAUGCGUUGUUGGGUAGGGGAGCGUUCUGUAAGCCUGUGAAGGUGUGCUGUGAGGCAUGCUGGAGGUAUCAGAAGUGCGAAUGCUGACAUAAGUAACGAUAAAGCGGGUGAAAAGCCCGCUCGCCGGAAGACCAAGGGUUCCUGUCCAACGUUAAUCGGGGCAGGGUGAGUCGACCCCUAAGGCGAGGCCGAAAGGCGUAGUCGAUGGGAAACAGGUUAAUAUUCCUGUACUUGGUGUUACUGCGAAGGGGGGACGGAGAAGGCUAUGUUGGCCGGGCGACGGUUGUCCCGGUUUAAGCGUGUAGGCUGGUUUUCCAGGCAAAUCCGGAAAAUCAAGGCUGAGGCGUGAUGACGAGGCACUACGGUGCUGAAGCAACAAA
rnacentral:rRNA from 1 species